UACGGGGGGGGCAAGCGUUGUUCGGAAUUACUGGGCGUAAAGGGCUCGUAGGCGGCCAACUAAGUCAGACGUGAAAUCCCUCGGCUUAACCGGGGAACUGCAUCUGAUACUGGAUGGCUUGAGUUCGGGAGAGGGAUGCGGAAUUCCAGGUGUAGCGGUGAAAUGCGUAGAUAUCAGGAGGAACACCGGCGGUGUAGACGGCUUUCUGGACCGUAGCUGACGCUGAGACACGAAAGCGUGGGUAGCAAACAGG
rnacentral:rRNA from 1 species